rnacentral:lncRNA from 1 species
AGCGAUGUCACUGUCAUAACUGGUAACAGAAGCGUUGGUGAUGGCUGGACCACUUUCAGAUCUGCAACUCUAGGUGAAGCCUUUCUACCCCUUUCUGAUUUUUUCUGCAAUUACUUAUGAGUAAUUAUGUACAACUACCUUUUUUUCAUACAACCACGUUACAACUCUAAAUACUAUUAUUUUAAUAUUUUUUUAUAUCAUUUAAUUAUAAAUUUACCAUUUACUAUAUAUAUUUAUUUCUAAACCUAUCACAUCAGAGUUGUAUAAGUUGUAUACAACUCAAAACAAAAGAGUUGUAUACACUAUCAUUUUCCAUUACUUAUUUCUCAUGCACUGGUUACCACUUGGCACGGAGCAGAGAAGUAACAGAACAAAAAAAAAAAAUUAAUGAAUCUGUCUUUGAAAGUUAAUUUAGGAGAAAUUAUUACAAGAUUAGAUAAAACAAAAAUGUGACAAAUAAUUGAGGGGUAUUUGAGAUUGGUGGAAACCAUAUAAUAUUAAAUUCAUACAAUGUUUUUUCCUUGUUUAAUGCGACCAAACUGGCA